rnacentral:rRNA from 1 species
GAUGAACGCUGGCGGCGUGCCUAACACAUGCAAGUCGAGCGAACCCUUCGGGGUGAGCGGCGGACGGGUGAGUAACGCGUGGGUAACCUGCCCUAUACACACGGAUAACGUACCGAAAGGUACGCUAAUACGGGAUAAUAUUGUUGGAUGGCACCUUUUAACAAUCAAAGCUCCGGCGGUAUAGGAUGGACCCGCGUCUGAUUAGCUAGUUGGUGAGGUAAUGGCUCACCAAGGCGACGAUCAGUAGCCGACCUGAGAGGGUGAUCGGCCACACUGGAACUGAGACACGGUCCAGACUCCUACGGGAGGCAGCAGUGGGGAAUAUUGCACAAUGGGCGAAAGCCUGAUGCAGCAACGCCGCGUGAGCGAUGAAGGUCUUCGGAUCGUAAAGCUCUGUCCUCAAGGAAGAUAAUGACGGUACUUGAGGAGGAAGCCCCGGCUAACUACGUGCCAGCAGCCGCAGUAA